UAGCCUUUCGAAAGGAAGAUUAAUACCGCAUAAGAUUGUAGUAUCGCAUGAUAUAGCAAUUAAAGGAGCAAUUCGCUAUAAGAUGGACCCGCGUCGCAUUAGCUAGUUGGUGAGGUAAUGGCUCACCAAGGCGACGAUGCGUAGCCGACCUGAGAGGGUGAUCGGCCACAUUGGGACUGAGACACGGCCCAGACUCCUACGGGGAGGCAGCAUG
rnacentral:rRNA from 1 species